rnacentral:lncRNA from 1 species
GCCCUAGUAACAGCAGGGUGUUUAGCCUGAGGAUAACUCAGAGUCCAGCAAGAAGGGCUGGGAUUCACACUGAGCACGUGUGUCUGCCCAGGCUUGGGCUGUUUUCUGGGAUGGACUACCUGAAAUUCAUCACGGAGAGAGGUGUGGUCAGGCCUCUGUUACUUCAUACAAUAGCCUGUUGCCAUGGUUAAAGGCUAUGGUGUUGGUGUGAGGGAGCUCAGAGAUGGGCUGGGAUUUGGACGGAACUGCAGGACAGAGUGAAGCUUGGCCUCUGUGACCUCACAGAAGGGGUCACUGUCGUGGUUAUGGGUGUGCCCUAGUGCUGAGGGCAGCAGAGUCCAUGAUAGGAGAAGGUGGCAGGGAUCCUUUCUAGGAAUAUUGAUCAUAAAUCAAGGCUAACAACAAAUUAGCUUUGGAAAAAUAUGAACUCAAAAGUAUACUCUAUUUAAAUCCUAAAAAAGAAUCAGAUACCCUGAUCCUGAAGAUUUCUGGACCUAGAUAAGUAGGAAUGAAAAGAAACAGGGCUGGUCAAACAAACCAGAAAAAAAGUAUGUGCCUUGGGCAAACUGAACUUGAUGGAGGUCAGGUGCAAAAGAAGUAUAGAUGUGGGCCUAGGCCUAUCCCUGACCCUUGAAGAGGCCUGGGCCUAAUGAAGAAGUUAUGUGGGCCUGGGCCUAUUCCCAAACCUUGAAGAGGCCCGGGCCUAAUGAAGAAGCGAUAUGGGCCUGGGCCUAUCCUUGACCCUUGAAGAGGCCCGGGCCAAAAGCAAGAAGUGAUGUGGGCCUGGGCCUAUCCCCAACCCUUGAAGAGGCCUGGGCCUAAUGAAGAAGUGAUGUGGGCCUGGUCCUAUCCCUAACCCUUGAAGAGGCCUGGGCCUAAUAAAGAAGUGAUGUGGGCCUGGGCCUAUCUCUGAACCUUGAAGAGGCCCGGGCCUAAUGAAGAAGCAAUAUGGGCCUG